CAGCUCUUACAGCCAAUGAGAAUAUGGCUGUUCGGGCAAGCUAGCCAAUGGGAUAGAUCCAUGAUUUGAUUCGUCCCCGCACGUGCAGCUCGGUGACGGUGACUUGUCACUCGAUUGCAUUGGUCAUCAACCGUCUUUUUUACAUGACCACGGAAUCAAAAACAUCAACAACAGCAAAUGAGUGGCGUGUUACGAUCGAAAACACAGUCGUCAUGAGCAAGAGGAAGCAAGAGGGUUGCAGAGACAUUCGGCAAUUUUUUGCCUCGUCUCAGAAAAGAAGCAAAAGUAGAGCUAGUGAGCCAGCGGGAGAGACAGAAAGUUUGGAGGAUGAAAGCACAGGGAGAGUUUGUCAAUCUAGUGGUGGCAUAGAGUCGGACCUUGAUGCUGUGACAACGGACAAGUCUUCUUCCUCUGUCCUUUUCCCCUGCAUCUGUUCAGUAUGUUCAGUGUUCUUAAAUCAUUUUAUUAGUUACUGUUCUUAUUGUGUUCUUGUUAGUGUGAUGUUUGAAUAAACUUGCCUGUUGCAAUGUUGGUAUAAUGUUUGUAUAAUUACUGUUAUACAACUGUUACUGUUUCAAUGUGACCC
ensembl:lncRNA